CGGUGUAAUUCGACCCAACACGGGAAAGCCCAUCCGGCCCGGACACUGUGAGGAUUGACAGACUGAUAGCUUUUUCUUGGUUCCGUGGGUGGUGGUGCAUAGCCGUUCUUAGUUGGUGGAGCGAUUUGUCUGGUUAGUCCCGAUAAGGAACAAAACUCAUAAUUAGUAAAUCAAUCGAAUUUUGACCUUUCUUUCCAUCAUAUCACUAUAGUGUUGGAGAAGGUUCUCCUAUUCAUACUGUCAAAUGGUUUCUCAUAAUCAAGGAAGUUGAUAUAUAAUGACGAAUCCCAUUCAAGUGAUUGUUCAUUGAUGAUCUGUAGUGUCGCGAUUUGGUCUGUACACG
rnacentral:ncRNA from 1 species